rnacentral:rRNA from 1 species
UACGGGGGGAGCAAGCGUUGUUCGGAUUUACUGGGCGUAAAGGGCGCGUAGGCGGUCGUGACAAGUCACUUGUGAAAUCUCCGGGCUUAACUCGGAACGGUCAAGUGAUACUGUCGGACUAGAGUACAGAAGGGGCAACUGGAAUUCUCGGUGUAGCGGUGAAAUGCGUAGGUAUCGAGAGGAACACCUGCGGCGAAGGCGGGUUGCUGGGCUGAUACUGACGCUGAGGCGCGAAAGCCAGGGGAGAAAACGGG